UGGUGAUGAGGGCAUAGAGGUAACACUCCUUCCCAUUCCGAACAGGAAAGUUAAGGUCUAUAGCGCCGAUGGUACUGCAUGGGAGACU
rnacentral:rRNA from 1 species